UACAGAGGGUGCAAGCGUUGUUCGGAAUUAUUGGGCGUAAAGGGCGCGCAGGCGGCGACAUUUGUCAGGCGUGAAAGCCCCGGGCUUAACCUGGGAACUGCGCUUGAUACGGUGUGGCUAGAGUUCGGGAGAGGAGAGUGGAAUUCCCAGUGUAGAGGUGAAAUGCGCAGAUAUCGGGAAGAACACCCGUGGCGAAGGCGGCACUCUGGGACGGUACUGACGCUGAGACGCGAAAGCGUGGGGAGCGAACAGG
rnacentral:rRNA from 1 species